AUACGGAGGAUGCAAGCGUUAUCCGGAUUUAUUGGGUUUAAAGGGUGCGCAGGUGGUUGAAUAAGUCAGUGGUGAAAGUCUGCCGCUUAACGGUAGGAUUGCCAUUGAUACUGUUUAACUUGAGUUUGGAUGAGGUAGGCGGAAUGUGUAGUGUAGCGGUGAAAUGCAUAGAUAUUACACAGGACACCGAUUGCGAAGGCAGCUUACUAAUCCACUACUGACACUGAGGCACGAAAGCGUGGGGAUCAAACAGGAUUAGAUACCCUGGUAGUCCACGCCGUAAACGAUGAUCACUCGCUGUUUGCGAUAUACAGUAAGCGGCCAAGCGAAAGCGAUAAGUGAUCCACCUGGGGAGUACGAUCGCAAGGUUGAA
rnacentral:rRNA from 1 species